rnacentral:lncRNA from 1 species
AAAACUAGAGGCAUGCCACCCAAAAAAAGGCGACACGCUGUCCAAACGAUGGCAACACACUACCCAAUCGGUAGCACAUUGCGCCCAAGGGGGCGAAAUGCUCUGCUCGAGGCAGCGCAAGCUGCUCAAGCCUGCCACGUGCACGUACGCCUACUGCAAGCUGGGCACUAUGCGUAGGCUAUUGUGCGGACGGCGCGCGGAUAGGGAAUGUGAUAGGAUGCACAAGCAGACUACGCCUUGUGCACCGUGUGGAUGGGACGUGCGCCUUGUGCUGGCCGUGUGUGGGCACGACCCUUCCCGCGAGUGUUUUUGCCAGA